rnacentral:rRNA from 1 species
GACAGAGGGUGCAAACGUUGUUCGGAAUUACUGGGCGUAAAGCGCGUGUAGGCUGCUCGGAAAGUCGGAUGUGAAAGCCCUGGGCUCAACCUAGGAAGUGCAUUCGAAACUUCCGAGCUGGAGUGCUGGAGAGGAAGGCGGAAUUCUCGGUGUAGAGGUGAAAUUCGUAGAUAUCGAGAGGAACACCGGUGGCGAAGGCGGCCUCCUGGACAGUCACUGACGCUGAGACGCGAAAGCGUGGGGAGCAAACAGG